UACGGAGGGGGCUAGCGUUGUUCGGAAUUACUGGGCGUAAAGCGCACGUAGGCGGCUUUACAAGUCAGAGGUGAAAGCCUGGAGCUCAACUCCAGAAUUGCCUUUGAGACUGUAUCGCUUGAACACGGGAGAGGAGAGUGGAAUUCCUGGUGUAGCGGUGAAAUGCGCAGAUAUCAGGAAGAACACCAAUGGCGAAGGCAGCUCUCUGGGACGGUACUGACACUGAGACGCGAAAGCGUGGGGAGCGAACAGG
rnacentral:rRNA from 1 species